GCCUUUUAUGACCUAGCCCCGGAAGUUGUGCUCCAUUGUCCUGCAAUAUCCUCUUGGUUACAUAGGCCAACCCUGUUCAGCAUGGGAGGAAACUCUGCGAGGGUGUGCAUACCAGGGUCUCACUCUGUCACCCAGGCUGGAGUGCAGUGGCACAAUCAGGGCUCAUUGCAGCUUCGACCUCCUAUGGCUCAGGUGAUCCUCCCAGCAGAACCUCCUGGGUAGCUGGCACUACAGAUUGUUAUUUACAUCUUUGAUCAUCAUUGAUCAUUUCACCUGCUUGUAUAUUCUCUGUUAACUGGAUGCCGGACUCAGUAAUAGCAGUCUUUAUUUUAGCUUGAACUUGAAGUCAACAUCUUUUUUUCUGGGGCUCAAAGGAGUUGCAGAGACCCUAGAGGUGUUUCCUUGCAGAGGACUUGAGAGGUGCCUCAGAUAAUUCUUGUGACGGGUCAAUAUGGGAAAAUGGCACUUUAGAUCUAUGCUGCCCAGAGUGAGGUCCAUGAAUCAGAAGCUUCGGCAUCACCUGUGCUUAGCAACCAAACGGCUCAAAGAGGACAGCCUGACUGAUUUGUUUGUAGGAGAUAGGAACUGAUUUCGUGCAAGACAUCCCAGAAGUGGGGCUUAAGGUAAGCUGGAGGGCUUGGCAAAGGAAGGUGUGAGGCAAUGUUUCCAUUAGGGAUGACUGGAAAAGAAAGAGGCUAGAAAGGAAAUAUCCAGGGGCAUGUUGUGGGACUGCCAAGAAGAACAUGACCUACCAAUAAGAGCUUUGUUAUCGGAGCCUCUAAGUCCCUUCUUGAAAAGUGAUACUUUUCCUGAGGUGGAUUGGACUCAGGAAGAAAGAGAUGUGGGAACCUGGAUGGGUUCCAUUCCGAGGGCAAGUGAUACCAGACUAUAAGCUCUGCCGCCAGUACCCUCAGAGGUAAGGUAUUGCAUUUUCCCCUGGACUAAAUUACAGAUGUACAGACCUGAUUGGCAAUUGGAGGUGCAACAGACCAACCACCACAAACCCAGCAAAUCACUUCCACGGAGCCUUUACUCAUGCCUGGGAUUUGUCCUUGCUUCCCUCUCUUCUUCCUCCACCUUUUUUCCCACGUGUUGAAAUUCUGCAUUACUUUAAAGGUCAAGCCACAAAUACUGCCUUCUUUGAGGAUCUUCCUUGAUCCUCUUAAGUUGGGACUACUUGCCCCUCCUCACUGCUUUCCUAGCAGCGUGUUUACUCUUGUUGUCAAAUCAUGCCUUGCAUUGGCAUAGCAUGCCUUUUAGUGUAGCGAGCUGGAUAGACACUGGUCUUCUCUGCUAUUGUGUAUGCUCUUUGAGGGCAGGGACUAAAUCUUGUCCCUAGAUCAUGACUCAAUGCCUUGCCCAAAUAUAAAGUCAACAAAUAUUUGUGGAGUGGAAUUAAAGAGGUUCAUCUGCAUGCCACAGAUGCAUUUAUAUAGUGAAGACUAUGGGAUGAGGUAGGAGGCACACCUGGGAAAGGGAGGGAAGGAGGUGGAUAUGAUGCAGUACAUAACAGAUCCAAGAUCACCAGAAAGAAGAGUCAGCUACAUCCUUUACCCUUUUUCCUCUAAAGUUAAUUUAUGAACUGAUCUGAAGUCAGUAAUGAUACUUAACGACACGGAAGAUUAAAGGGAGAGAGCACAACGCUGCUGGAAGAAUGUCGGAUUAGGAUCCUGAAUGUCUGCUCAUCUGGCUUUAAGAAGGCCAUUUAACUUCCACGCACCUUAGGCUCUUCACCUAUAAAAUAGAGAUAAAAUAUUGGUCCUCCCUCUCCCCUGGUUUGCUGUAAAGAUGCAUGAGGUCACUGUGAAAAUGAUCUGUAAGCUUUAAGGAUUCUCUUUAUGGCCUUUGGGCAUCAUUGGCACACCUAGGAGCUGGUUAGAAAUGCAGACUCUCAGGCCCCACCCUAGACCUACUGAAUCAGGAUCUACAUUUUAACAAUGUCUUCAGGCAAUUUGCAUGCACAUCAUUGGUUUCAGAAGUACUACUCUAAAGGACUAUAUAAUAAAAGUUGCAAUUGUUGUUAAUAAGGUCCACGUGUGUUGGCAAAACUGAACAUAAGCUCUCACCCCAAAGGACUCCGCGAUGGAGGGGCAGCAGGCAGACAGGUGGAGUUAUAGCUGGAUUGGAGGGGUCACAUUCAUCUUUGGGCAGUAAGAGACCUGAGAAGAGGCUACAGGAAUAUUAGUAAUUGUCAUGAGAACUGCUAUAUAUUAAGUGCUUGCUGUGUGCUGAGCACCCUGCAGGGCUUUUUACCCUCACAGAUAUGAUCCCAUAUAAUCCAUACUUUACAGUUAUCCUGUUUCGUAAGCACAGAAGCUGAGAUUAUGAAAUUGAUCCAAGGUCACACAGCUUGUGGAGCUGAGAUUGGAACUCAGGUUGAUGAUGGCAGAGAAUCCUACUGACAAGAGUGCAAGAAGCAGGGAUUUCUGAAAACGUACUGUGGACAUCUAAUUUUUGAUACCAUAAAAACAGAUACAAUAAAAUUCAGAGGGACUGGUUAGGAUACAAACAAGACUUUCCCUCCUUAUAAUUUAUUUCUGCAUGUGAUAAUAUUUCAUAGCACAAGUCAAUACUUUGGAUUGUAACUAGAAUACUCUUUAAGCCUUAUCCUCAAUUUUUGUAAUUGAAAAAUAAAGCCAAAAAAGCU